rnacentral:rRNA from 1 species
AACGAACGCUGCCGGCAGGCUUAACAUAUGCAAGUCGAACGCAUCCUUCGGGGUGAGUGGCAGACGGGUGAGUAACGCGUGGGAACGUGCCCUUCAGUUCGGGAUAACCGAGGGAAACUUGGGCUAAUACCCAAUACGAUCUACGGAUGAAAGAUUUAUCGCCGAGGGGGUAGCGCGCGUAGGAUUAGCUAGUUGGUGAGGUAAUGGCUCACCAAGGAGACGUUUCUUAGCUGGUCUGAGAGGAUGAUCAGCCACACUGGGAGGGAGACACGGCCCAGAGUCCUACGAGAAGGAGGAGUGGGGAAUGUUGGAAAAAGGGCGAAAUCCUGACCCAGCCAUAACGCGUAAGUGAAGGAGGCCUUAGUGUUGUAAAGCUCUUUCGCCAGGGAAGAUAAUGACGGGACCUGGAAAAGAAGCAUCGGCUAACUCCGUGCCAGCAGCCGCCGUAA